ACGAUGUUCCGCUGCAAUUCAGUAUUGUAAGAGCGUCUG
rfam:Lysinibacillus sp. BF-4 contig00001, whole genome shotgun sequence.